CAUGGACAUGCUGCUGCAGCCGUACGCGUGCUUGCGCACCCAGCCGAAGAACUGCUUCAGCUCCCGGCGCAGCGUGGAGUUGGAGUCGCCGCUGGACUUGGAGUCGCAGGAGCCCGACAUCAAGCGCUCUGCGGGCGAGAGUGGUUCCCGACCAUCGAGAGAACAACGCCUCCGAAGGAUCACACAUGAAUUAUUUGGAGUGAUGAAAUGAUUAAGGAGGCCGGAGAGAAGGCGAACAUAGCUCCGAAAGCUCUGAGUAAUUGCCUAAUUAAAACCAUGUGAGAGGUUCCGAUGUGGAAUCUCUCUUGUGACACUUCUAACAACCUUCAGACAUCAUCACGGACAGCGUGCUGCUAACGAGUCCAGAUCCAGGCUACGUGUGUUAGGUUAAAUAGGAUCUAUGAAGAUGGAGGACGAUUAUAGCUGUCACACACAGCGAAGGCAUGAGAAUAACUUAUAACAUAAGUGACAUGUAAUAAGACGAAGGUGUAAGUAUUUAAAAGACAACGAAACAGGAGAAUAGAAAGGGAAACAGCGUAGACGUGGGUUGAGUGCUCUGAUGUGUGGGGUCAGUGAGGAGCUUAGGAAUGAAUUGUGCCAAUGAGUUUCUACCGCAGAGAUUGUAAGAUGUGUGUUUGAGUGUGUGCUCCAGAGUAAUUGGUGCCAAAGCCAUAAAGUAGUGGCUGCAAGCUUGA